rnacentral:rRNA from 1 species
CGCGUAGGCGGCUCUGUAAGUCUGGAGUGAAAGUCCUCUUUCAAGGGAGGAAUUGCUUUGGAAACUAUAGAGCUUGAGUGCAGGAGAGGUUAUCGGAAUUCCCGGUGUAGCGGUGAAAUGCGUAGAUAUCGGGAGGAACAUCGGUGGCGAAGGCGGGUAACUGGACUGCAACUGACGCUGAGGCGCGAAAGUGUGGGGAGCAAACA